CGAAGCCGGGGCCCCCGCCUGGCAGCUGGCACAGAGGGCUAGCAAACAACCGUUGAAUUGAUAACCCUUAGGUAAAUAUUACUUGUGACAGCCAGAGUCACCUUCGUGACAACUCUCCAGCUUCAGGGACAAGAGACCCCCUGCAGCUCUGCUCCCGGCUCGGCCCAGCCUGAGGGGCCCUGGACGCCGGCCGCCCCAAGGAGACAGACCACGAGGAACUGAGUUUUCAGCACUGGAGCAGUUCUCAAUUUAUCAUGUCCUGCAAACCAUGGACUACAGCUACGGCUCCCACUUCUUAUAAACCAUUGCUCAUUUUGGAAGGACGUAUUCAGUAUCAAUUCAGAUAAGACAAAAGAGAAACAAAAUCCGGACUUUACCUGCCACAUUCUCCCGCGGCUGCAAUGGCUUCCUUGGCAAGUCGCAAAGCGGUCUCCUGGCUGUACCAAAACUGGCUCAACUGCUGUAACAGAGCAAUGACCUGAAAUCAGUUGACAACUGCCAUACAUUCCAUCCUUUUAAUGUACGUCUACCACUCCACUGUGCAUACAUUUCAAGUGUUUUUUUCUUUUUAAAACUAACUAUCCUUUGGAAUUAUUUUAAAGUAACAGAAGGCCCUAAUUACUGGAAUCUAGGCAUUGAGCACCAGCGGCUGCUGACACCACAGAAGGAGACAACGGUCAACGUUUCUGCUGGUGGAAGAACAUACUCCCGCCUUUGUGUGACUCUUGCCCCCAAAAACUGAACCUGAGUCUGAUUAAGCCUCUAGGAUCAACUACCCGCUAGCAGAACCACAAAUAGAGGAUGGAAGAACGUGUGAAGUACCACCACAGGGAUGAGAGGAGCGAAACUCAGUCCGUGGUCCUUUUCCACCGCCUCCUCUCUUUACCUUAUGAGGACUUCCCGAGUUACUUGUCUUUUCCCUUAGGGGUAAGCUGUCAUCUUGCUCCUUCUCUUCACGCUGGUUACCGAUUUUCUUUCAACUUUUUAGUGAUCCUUAAUCAUCCACUCACGUUUCUAAAUUAAAUUUUAAAGGGGAAAAGUGGAUUCUCCUGCAAUGGAAUAGGCCCAUUUCUCCAGCAGGCCUCCCUCUGGAAUGGCCGUGCCAGGAGCCAGUGGUGGGAGGAGGCAAGUGUGUGCGGCCAGUGUCCGCUGAUGGCUCUUAAAUCCAGCUUUAAAAACAUUUCCAAAACAUAUGAUCAUUUCAACAAGUGCAAAAAAAAAACAUUUAACAAAGUUCAACACCACUUCAUGAUUAAAAAAAAAAACCUCUUAGAAAAGCAGGAAUAGUAAGGAACUUCUUUAAACUGAUACAAGGCAUCGAGAAAAAACCAACAGCCUUACAAAAAUGAAAGAUCUAUUUUUUCCCCAUAAGAUAAGAAAGAAGGCAAGAAUGUCUGCUUUCAAUAUUCUCAUUCAACAUUCUACUGCAAGAUCCAGCCAUUGCAUUAAUGCAAGAGAGGAAAUAAGCGAGUGACAGUCAAAAAAGAAGUAAAACUGCUAACAUUUGCACAUUGUGUGACUGUUUACCUAGAAAACACCAAGGCAGAUACAUGUUUCUGAAGACAGAAUGUACAUAUUCAUUUGGAUAUAUGUGAAUAUGAAUUCACGUCUAAACAUUCUCAGCUGCAGGAAAAUGCCAAGCCCCGGCCCUCUUUGCUUAGGAAGCUGGAGGAAAGCCCCAGGACACAUGUGUACAUGGUGUGGGGGUGGGGGGUGGUGGUGUUCUACUUCACUUGAUCUGGGUAGAGUUUUCGACAGUUGGCUACCAAGCUGCCCUUCUCCCUCACUCCAGCCUUGUCAGGGCACAGUUGUAUGUUUUGGCUCUCCUCAUACCCUUCCAAAAAAUAAAAAUCUUCCUUUUAA